rnacentral:lncRNA from 1 species
CGCUACAUUUCGUCGAUCAGUUUUUGGUUUAGGGAAUGAUAGAAUUCAUUCCUUGGAAUCGAAUCGUAGUCCACUUGUCCAAAACACUGAGUUUGAGUCAUUUCAGAAUAAAGUCUAUAAGAGAUUUCAUGAUCUCUCGAUUGCCAACUGCCAAGGCUGAUGAGUUUCUUUCACUUACAUGGAUAAGUAAGUUACUUGAUACCUUGAUUGAUUUCCAAGAGGAAUUUAGGGUCCUAUUAUGUAAGUAUAAGGUUGAUAUGUCGAAACCGCCUUUAGACAAGAUGAUUCUGAUUACUUUGAGAGGAGCAUCAAGGUGCUUGACAUAUGUAAUGCAACUAGAGAUGGGGUUGAUAUGAUUAGGCUUUGGAACAAGCAUUUGGAUAUGGUUCUAAGUGCUUUUGGUUCUCGACAAAGGAUCAUUGGUGAAGGCACGUUUCGUCGAGCAAGAAAAGCUUUGACAGAGUUAGCACUCGUGAUGCUUGAUGAUAAGGGCUACGGGAGUGUUGUCUCACACAUGAAUAAGGUCUUUUGGGUGGCAUAAUAAGGGGAAAGAACAGCACUAUCGUUUACAAGGACACUCAAGGUCUCUGUCUUGGAGUGUAUCACAUUCGUGGUCAGCAACAAAGCAGCUUCAAUCCAUUGCAAACACAGUAGUUCCACCGCGUGCUCAUGAGAUCACAGAAACUAAAGGGCUUGCAGUUCCCAUCUUCACAAUGAGUUUUGUGCACAUGUUUGUACUGUGGGCUCUGGUUGCUGCUAUUCCUUGUCAAGAUCGCAGCCUUCAAAUUCAUUUCUCUAUUCCAAGGCAGUUUUCAUGGUCAACUCCUUUUUACUUGAUUCAUGUCAGGAUCAUGGAUGAAUCUAAGAAGAGAGAUCACAGAAGCUCCAUUGGGUUACUUCAGGAGAUAUAUCAGCUAGAAAGUAGUGUUAGACGCAUCACAGAUAUUGUAGAUUCUGCCCACUUUCCUAUGACAGAGCAACAAAAGGAAGAAUCGAAGUCUGCGGUUAAGGAGAUAACUUUGGUAUGUGAAGCUUGUAAAGAUGGAAUGGAUCCCCUUGAACGACAAAUAAGGGAAGUGUUUCGCAGAAUUAUGAGUUUCCGGAUUGAGGGUCUUGCAAUACUAGGGAGGGAAGACUAGCCUUGUUAAUUCAGACCACCACUAAUGAACAGCAAAAAAAAAGAAGAAUAUCGGACGAAUCUGGGAAUUAGUGUUUUGACCAGCCUCGCUCAGAAAAUGUUCUCCCUAUUGUUAUUUAGCAGGUACUUUCUUUAUUUACAAGCAUACCUCACAUAAUGUAAAGAAUAUACGAGUGUUUAUAUUGGACCAUCCUAAACUGGGUGUUAUCCAAAUUAAUUGAUUGGUUUCUUCUUGUUUAUUUCUCUUUCGCAAGGUUUGAUUGAAGGAGCAAGUUUGUGUAUAUGAGAAGAUUCUUUUAAAGGAUAUACGCACACACACCAUUGCUUAUCUGUUUUUAUUGUAUAUCAUCUUGGCCUUCCAUUGAUGAUGAUUAUGAAUAUGAGAAGUUGAUUUGAGUUUGUUUUAAUCUUUUGGUGCGCACUGCACAAUGCACUGCACUAUGGUAGAUGUUUUGAACGGCGAUUGAGAUGAUUCAUUGACAAAAGUAAGAGUUUGUCGGAUGUGGGAGUAGACUGUUAUCUCAUGAAUUUAAAUUGAUGUUUUUGCGGACAACCAAUUCAAAGAAUUUGGAGGAAGGAGUCACUAAUAUACACCUGCAUGGAUUGGAAUUAAUAUGUCCCGACAUGAUUAAUGUUCGUAUAACUAGAACAUAAUGUUUAUCCCUAUUAAAACUGGGGAUGUUUUCGGAUUUGCAUAUCAAUAUCUUGUUGAUUUUUACGUACUUAUGUUUUUGCAAACUUAUUGUCCGUUUUAUUGGUCAAUCAAUGUAUAUGGCUAGAUGUCAUCAAUCAGUUCUGUUAAAGAGCUGUAUGCUUUUUACAUGUAGGGCAUGGUGUAUAUGUUUAAGAAGUAGUGUUUGAAAAUUAAUGACAAUGUUCUUGAAAAACAUGCUUACUUUAAAAAAAAAAAACACAACUAAAAGUAAGGUUCGUCAUGCCUUCGAUCGUUGAUUAUAUGUAGAAAUUCAUUUUUAUUUUUCACUCAUGAAUUAAAGUCCAAUUUUGUAAUUUCAUAUAUUAAUAUUGGUAUUGUAUCGAGAUGUUUAUAAUAUAAAAUUUAUUUUACUCUGCAAAUACUAAUUUUGAGUCAUUAAUAUAAUUUUUAUACGCCGCCGCAACGCGCGGCUUCUCAACUAGUAUAGAACUUAUAGUGAAUUAUUAUAUUGAUAAUGUGACAAUUCUGAUAUUAUUUUUUCUACUUUCUUUUUAUUUAUAUUUUAUUUUAUCUGAUAAAAAAGUUGGAUAUUGAGUUGCAGAGAAGUGAAUAUAAUUAGAGGGAAGUGAAUAUUAUAUUUAUUAAUAAUUUAAAGAAUAACUAGAUACUUUUUUUAACUAAGACACUUUUAGAUGAGAGGAAACUCUUGAAUUUUCAAAAAGCUGUUAUAAAUAUAUUAGAGCACUAUUUUUUCACAUCUCUUUAAAUUUAAAAUUAAGGAUUUUUGUAUAACUCAUCGACAAUGCUCUUAGUUUAUUCAUUGCUAGAUUAUAAAUUACCUACUGUACUUUUUAUGAAAUGGUUGAGACAUAUUUUCACAACAGGUUAAAUCUUGAAUUUUUUUCAAAAUUUUGGUCAAGUUUUUAGUUUGUGAAUUUAAAAAUAAGUCAAAAUAUACUAUUCUAAAUGUAACGAUUUGAAUAAUACACAAGCCCAUUGUAUGCCUCCAAAAAAUCACCAUUUAUUUAUUGGUGUAUUGUGCAAUUGAUAAUGAAUUAAUUCAUAUUAAUAAAUCAAAAGAAUGUCUCUAUUUUGUAAACGUGAGACUGAAAUGUUAUAUAAACACUUAACUCCUUAAAGUUAGAACUUAUUUAUAGGAAUAUAUUUACGAAUCAGUACUGAAAAGCAUGUGUCCAUCAUUCCGGCCAAAGAUGAAAUAAAGAGACCAUGAGAUUUAAAUUAAGGAGCCGUGCAAAAAUUUUACUUGUUUUCUUAUCAUAUAAACAAUCUGAUUUGUCUUAUAUGACGACUAACAGUUUCAAUAUACAACGUAAUAAUGCAGCAAAUUGCUAUGACCAAUGUUCCAGAAUUCGCUAGGCGUCCCUGGACGGUCGGGGUACCUUCGAGUGAUUAAUCGGGAAAUCGGGGAUUAAUCGGAAGGAUUAAUCGGAGCAUUUAAUUGGACAUAUAUUAUUUUUAAAUUAUUAUAAUUAAAUGUAAUUUAAUAAUUUUAUCUAUUUUUCACUACUGGUAGAGUCAAACUGGUAAAUAAUAUAAUAUCACAUAUAAAAUAAAUACUUGAUACAUGUAAUACAAAAUCGUUGAUUAGAUAAAUAUAUAUCAAUCAUUCUCUUAUAAAUAAUUUAAGAAAUAUUAAAUAAAAAUAUUAGUCAUUUUAAUUUUUUUAUAAGAUAUUAAGUUAAUUACAAGUGAAUACUUAAUUUCUUACAAUAUAAUCAUAAUUUUAGAUUUUAUUUAUUAAAAAUAUGAUUUUUUUUGUUAUUAGCCGCCUGGACCGCCUAGGCGGGAUGUUGACCGCCUAGGACCGAUUUUUGUAAAAAAAUGUCUAAUUCACCGCCUAGGACCGAAUCAGGGCGUUUCGGGGCCGCCUAGCGUCUAGGCACCGUCUAGACCAAUUUUUAGAACACUAGUUAUGACCGAGUAGUAUAAUAUGGUGAGCUAUCACAUAACUUUCAUCUGGCGGGAAAAACGACGUUAAACAUAGAAAAUUCUAAUAUGAAAUAAUUUAUAAUGAUAUUGUAACACUUUAAAUAUACGUCAAAAACAUAAUUAUUGUAUUAUUUUUUUCAACUGUAUGUAUGCUACUAAUGUUAGAGAACCAUACCACUUGUAUAUAGUGGUGUACAAAACAGAAAUUGCAAAAUAAGUAUACACGAGCCUUUCACUUCCUUUCCCCAAAAAAAAAUUUUACAACCCAAACCGGCCAAACACUGCCCUAAUUCGAGGAUAAUAAAAAACAGCAACUGUUUAUAUCGGCAACUUUCGUUAAAGCGUUGUUUGUCAGAGACUUUGGUGCGUGUAUACAUACAAUCUCUAUCUCCAUCUGUAUCGCAUAUACGACUGCACAGUGCCCCCAACUCACAAUCUCAAAAAGUCAACACCAUGUUAGUCGUUGGUUGCUUUCUAGCCAGGUUUUGAUGAUGUAGUGGGUAUUAUUCUAUUUCUUAUUAUGUUCAAGAUUCAAGCUUUUUGAUGUUUUUAUGUUCAAUAUGAGUCUUUCAGAUCUUGGUAUGUGAGUUCUUUGGGGGUUUUGUUCUUAAUAAUGGUAUAAUUUCAGUGGUUUUGAUUUUUGGUUCACUGGCUCUCAAGAAAAAAAGUAAAAAAAAUUCUUAUUUUUUAAUUUUAAUUUAUGCUUCUGUUUUUUGCAAGACAUGGUUAGGUUUUUGCCAGUUUUACUUUGUGAUUUAAUUGAUGUUUGAAGGUAGAUAUGCUUGUUGAUUGUGAAUUUUUGGGCUGAUUUUGAAUGGGUCAAUUUUGACUUUUUCAAGUAAUUUGUAUAGUCUGUAUAUAUUUUCUAUCUGAUUUCUGAACUUGAGUUGAUGGAUGCAGAUCUUAAUGUUGCUGUAGGGAUUUGAAAAAAUUGUGUAGUAAGCAGCUUAGAUUCCUCAUCCUUUGGGCCUUUCCUGAUAGCUAUAUGUUUAAUUUUACACUUUGAUAUGCUUGUAAACAUACAAUCUGGUCAUGUUAAGAUUUCUGUUGUGAACUGAGAAUCAGGUACAUAUAUGAUAUAUGUAUGUUUUAUUGAAUUGCAUCUUGAAGAGUUGAAAUAUAAUGUACAAAUGAAACCAAGCCUGCAUUUGAUUUGUUAUUUGUUUCGGUGUAUUGUUGUAUGAGUGUACUGAAUCAAAUAUUUGUUCACAAGAUUAGGCUAAAAUCAACAACCUUAGCCUUUUUUAGUGGAACUGUAAGAGUUAUUAGACCUUGAUAAAUAUCAGAAAGAUGCAAGUAAAAAAUUUCUCAAUUUAGUCUAGUUUAGAGUCACUAUGAAUGUGUCUUUAUCUACUCAUCUUCUUUUCUUUUCUUUUUUCCUUUAGAUGCCCUUUUGAUUUCUCCCUUCUCUUUAUCUGAGAAUAUAAGUCUUUGCCUCAUAAAUCUAAUUGACCUUUCAUAUUUUAUUGCAGCUUUAUUCACAUGUGAAGUGUAAUAAAAUUAUAGAAAUAGAGUGAAAGUAGUUGUGACUAGAGUUCUGAAAGUGAGUUUCAAUUGCCACCAGUUAGAUUUGGAGAUAAAUGUCAUUCCGCAGUAUAGUUCGUGAUGUGCGAGAUAGUAUCGGGAGCUUAUCCAGGCGAAGUUUUGAUGUAAGGGUUUCAUGUCAUCACAGAGGAAAAUCACAUGGUUCAUUUAAUGACCUCGAUGAUCACCCUGUCAUAGUACAGAACAGUCGCUGGGCUAAUCUUCCUCCUGAGCUACUUUAUGAUGUCAUUAAAAGGCUAGAGGAGAGUGAAAGUACAUGGCCAGGUCGAAAGCAUGUUGUUGCAUGCGCUGCUGUUUGCAAAUCAUGGAGGAGUAUGUGCAAGGAUAUUGUUAGAAACCCAGAGUUCUGUGGGAAGCUGACAUUUCCAGUUUCUCUGAAACAGGUAGCUUUUUAUGUCUUUGUUUAUGCUUAUUGCUUACUAAUACACGAUACUACACACUGUUCCUUAUAAAUGACUUACGUUUUGUCUUGGAGUGUGAUGUUCUUCUGUUUGACUAUUUCCGACGUAGUAGUUCUUUGCGACAAAUGUUAUGGUAUGACGACAACGCUAAACCACAUUUAUUGUCUUUUCAGCCAGGAUCUCGUGAUGGGGCUAUUCAGUGCUUUAUAAAGCGGGAUAAGUCUAAUUUGACUUACCACCUUUUUCUCUGUCUUAGCCCUGGUGAGUGAUCUCUUCCAGUCUUAAAGAAGAUAAAUCUUUGUGCUUUAAUGUUCUUGUGAUGCACAUAUCUUAAAUGUUUCUCUCAACAGAGGGAUAUAGAAAGGCUACUGAGAAUUGUUGUCUAGAGUACCAUCGUAAUCUGAUGAUAUCACUAAGAUUGUCAGUAUUGGUUAUAAAUCUGUUAAUCUUUUUGUUGUCAAGGAAAGAGAUAAAUUUAUUAUCAGCACUCCAAUUAUUUGCGGGAUUGCAUUUAUUGCUUGGCUUAUUGGGAACAAAAUGAUAUACAGGCUGCCCUAGUCUAGUCUGUUUGGAUGAAUAAAUUUGUCAGAAGUGGUAAUAAAUCUGCUAUGUUUUUUGUCGUGACUCGUGAGUGAACGAAGCAAAUGCGAGCUAUUAUCAGGACUAUAGUUUCCUAUGGUUGUGUUAUAUCGACUUAUCAAGAGCAAGAUAAUUUUCCCGAAUAGGAUUAUCUUUGUGUUCAGGGUGCAGCACAUAUAAAUUCUUUGAUUACUAUAGUGAAUAUGGAAUUUUUGCAGCGAGUAAUCAUGUGGUUGAACCGGUCAUGUGUGCAGGAAACAGAAGCCCUCUUCUGUUAGAAUAGUUAUUGUGUUUUAUGAGUUUUUGAUAUCACACAUAUAUAAAUCUUAGAUUGAAUGUCUCGCUGGUUUUGAGUGUACUGGACCUUGUUGAUGAAGAGUCCCAUACCUUUUCACUUUCUUCUGAGAUUUGUUAUAAUGCUCAUCUUGUCCAGCUUUUUAAUGCCUUUUGUAUUUCACAUAUACUUUGUCAUGAUUCUCUUUUUAUGCCCUUGUUAGUAAGGUGGUAUGUUUGUGCUUAUAUUAAGUUGUACACACACACACACACGUAUAUGUAUAUAAAUAUAAUAUUCUGUAGGUGUUGAUAUGCUUUUGGGACUUUUCCUUACUGUAGCUUUGCUAGUUGAAAAUGGAAAGUUUCUUCUGUCUGCAAAAAGAACGCGACGAACAACUUGCACAGAAUAUGUGAUCUCUAUGAAUGCAGAAAAUAUUUCAAGGUCCAGCAGCACCUACAUUGGAAAGCUAAGGUAACAAGAUAGAGCUGUGACGUAGAUUAAGAUUUUGAUCUCUCUUUGGCUUAAAUCUCUGAAUUUUUAAUUGGUUUAUUUGAAGUUAUACCAAAAACACAUUGGUGGACUUUAAGCUUAAAUUGGUCACUUUGGAGUGAGUUGAGUUAUAUAAAUAAUGCCCUUGUUGUACCCUGUGAGCUCAGAAUAAGAGCUGCAGCUGCAGGCUUUUGUUUAACUUGGGGAUUAAGAAUGUAUAAAGAACUACUAUUGGUUAAAAAGCAUGUGCUGUAUAUAUGGCUUACAUAAACAGCUGACGUGAUAGGAUCAAGAUAAUUGCACAUAAAUUGCCUUAUCUUGCCUUUUCAUAUCUAAUCGAUACAUAGUAGGAAAAGUCAUUUGUCAUUUGUCAAGCAGAUAUUUGCCUUGCAAUGUAGUUUUACACUUUCAUUAGUUUUCUAAGGUAAAUCAAAGACCCUUGAUGAUGAGCUUACUAGGUGAGUAGUUGUAAUACUUGGUGGGAGUCUAGUCUUUGUGUAAUAUUUUUUCUAGGACGUUAUGCUGCUCUCAUAAUUAAAAAUAUGAUUAGUUGGGUUCACCGCUGAUAAUAUUAAUUGCUAUGCAUUUCUUUUAGUACGAGUCAUCAAUUAAAUUCUCAUGCAUGAGGCAACAUAUAUUCUCCAUUAUAGCAAUGUUUGCUUCCUUCUUAGUACCUCUAAAAACGUGCAAAGUUGGUGUUGUCUUUUGAUAAUGCUUAUAUCUACGUAUAUAAUUUAAGAAAUUAUUUUCUAAAUGCAUCAAAUCUUGUAUGACUGAUAUCAUUGCCGUUGUCUGUUUCAGAUCGAAUUUCCUUGGCACAAAAUUUAUUAUAUAUGAUACCCAGCCUCCACACGCUGGUACCCAUGUUCCGCCACCAGGCAGAUCUAGCCGUAGAUUCUAUUCCAAAAAGGUCUCUCCUAAAGUCCCAACAGGCAGCUAUAACAUAGCUCACAUCACAUAUGAGCUUAAUGUCCUUGGCACCCGUGGUCCGAGAAGGAUGCACUGCAUUAUGCACUCAAUCCCCAUCUCAGCCCUUGAGGCAGGUGGCACCGUUCCUGGGCAGCCAGAGCUCCUACCUCGCUCUGUUGAUGACUCAUUCCGAAGCAUUUCCUUCUCAAAGUCUCUUGACCACUCAGUGGAGUUCAGCAGCUCACGCUUUUCUGAAAUUGGUGCUGCUGCUGUUGCUUGCAGUGAAGAUGAGGAAGGGAAAUCAAAACCCUUGAUUCUGAAAAACAAGGCACCGAGAUGGCAUGAACAGUUACAGUGCUGGUGCCUGAAUUUCCGAGGACGAGUUACAGUAGCCUCUGUUAAGAACUUUCAGUUGAUUGCAUCCACACAGCCAACUGUCACGGCUGCACCAACAACUUCCCAGCCAGCGCAACCUGAACAUGAUAAAGUCAUAUUGCAGUUUGGUAAGGUAGGAAAAGAUAUGUUUACUAUGGAUUAUCGCUACCCGUUGUCUGCUUUCCAGGCAUUCGCGAUCUGUUUAAGCAGUUUCGACACCAAAUUGGCUUGUGAAUAAAAGAUUGAAAAAGAAGAUUAUCUUCAACUCUAGAGCUAUAAAAGGAUUGCAUAAAGAGGAAUAGCAUGUCUUCUGUAUUGUUAAUUUCUGUUCAAGUCGUCUCCUUUAGACACCAGAGUAGGAGACUCUUGUUAGUGUCAUGUUUGUUGUAAACUCAACUGUAACAGUAGCCCUAUGCUCUGCUCUUUGGGUGCUUCGACCUUUCUAAUCUCAAUUUUAUCUGUCUCAUCCCCCUCCCUCCCUACCUUUAUAUAUAUGCUGUGGUUCGAAUAAACACCAUUUUAGCGUGAUAAAACAUGAGAGCUAUGUGUUCUGCCAUUUUUUUUUGUUGUGUUCCGCCGAUUUGCUAGAUUUGAUCACGUGAAAUCUCCUAUGUGUAAACUGUGGGCAAGAGGUUGCCAUCUUUGAAGUCUCUUAUUGUCAACUUGGAUGAUAUUUCAUUACUGUAUAGAGAGCAUAAUUAAUCUUUUUCACAGCACAACUAGAUCUAAUCAUUCACCUUCCUAUAUUCAAAAGCAAUUGAAAAAAGUGAAGUUGAUAUGAUAACUUGAGAAAGCAACAAUCUUUUUUCCUCCUACACUGUUAAGGCAUUAAAGGGUGAAAGGGAGAAUCUUGGCUUGUGAAGAGAAAGGGUGAAAGUGAGAAUAUUUUAGCUUGAGAAGAAAGAGAGGUUUGUCUAAUUGUCUUUACUUUUGCAAAAAGCAUGGCACAGGGUGACUGUAAUAUUGCACAUCCAUGUUGUGGAGAUCCAAGGAGAUCUUCAGAUGAUCACAAAAUGAGGCAGAAUAGGUGUAGAGAGCCAUGAAUAUUGAAUAGAAUUGACACUUUCAAACAAUAAUUAUGGGACAUCAACAUCAACUAGAUCAAAGGCCACAUUGUUUGGCCAACAACUUGUGAUGAUAAUAAUGCAAGGAGAAUUUUGCUUGGAAAAGUUUCUGAUGGUAUCUAGUUUUAAGAAUUCGGAUCGAUCAAAGUUCCCAACUCUCUCAAAACCUCGAGUGAUAUUUAUGUGUUAACACAAGCACAAUGAGUUUUUAUAUCAAUGAAGUAAAAAUGGGAUGUAAAACAAAGGUCUGCAUGAACUCCCAGGGAAGAAAAAAGAGUAUUUUUACUGUGAAGAAGCCUUGUAUGUAGGACAAGAGUGCAAGGCAAGAUUGGAUAUGCUGGUAGGAAAAGAAAGAUACCAAUCAAAAACUAGUAACUUCAACUAGGGCCAGUCAUUAAGAACCCAGAAAAGUCUCCAUUAAUGCCUUAUCUACAAGCAAGACACUUUGCACACUUAGACUGGAGGGUUAAGAGUAGUUUUACUCCCAUCAAUACUGCAGAGAAGUGGCACCCUCAGUUGCUACAGUAAGUAAUGCCUUAAAAAUAGGUCAUGAUCCUGAACAAACUUCAAAUAUGUGGUGCAAGCCUGCAAGCAGUGGCGUAUGCAGGAUUUAAGUCCAGAGGGGGCUGGAUUUUAGUCCCACCGGGAAAAAAAUUUUUGGGUACAUAAUAUAUAAUUAAAUUUGACAUAUUAUUGUUACAACUUACAAAUUCACAAUAACACUCUCCUAGGUGCCAUAUUUUGAAACCUCACUAUAAUGUCUUCAACAUCAAUUUAUAUUAAAGUAUAAAAUAUUAGUCUAUUACAAAUGUAAUAUUAAAGUAUAAAUGUAAUAUUAAAGUAUAAUUAAAUUUAACUAUUAGUCUAUUACAAAUGUAAUAUUAAAGUAUAAAAUAAAAUAUAAAACUAAAAUGUUAUUAAAAAAGUUUGAUAAAAAUAUUUUUUAUGUAUUCAUUUGACUUUUUGAAAAUAAUUUUCAUUUUUUAAAAAUAAAUUAGUAUGUACUAAAAUAUUUAGAGGGGUCUAAUUUUUUUUUUUUAAUCUUGUACACCAAAAAAAAAAAAAAAUAAUUUUUUUUCAGAAUCCAGGGGGGGCUAUAGACCACCCUCGUCCCGUGCUAACUCCGCCACUGCUAGCCAGCAGCCAGCAGAUUUGACUUUAUUAAAUAAGUAGCUGCAUAUCUGAAUUUCAAACAUAUUAUAUAUAUCCCGUCACAAAAUGACUGAAUCUCUAAUUAAUACUCGUCAAUGCUAAUUUGCUGUUGGCCACAAUUAAUUAAGUUAACGCAAAUUUAAUGAAUUACUUAAUUUCACCGGCUCAACACUGUUACAUAUAUAUUGCAGUCGCGAAUCACCGUCAUUGUUUAUUAUGUGAUAGNNNNNNNNNNNNNNNNNNNNNNNNNNNNNNNNNNNNNNNNNNNNNNNNNNNNNNNNNNNNNNNNNNNNNNNNNNNNNNNNNNNNNNNNNNNNNNNNNNNNNNNNNNNNNNNNNNNNNNNNNNNNNNNNNNNNNNNNNNNNNNNNNNNNNNNNNNNNNNNNNNNNNNNNNNNNNNNNNNNNNNNNNNNNNNNNNNNNNNNNNNNNNNNNNNNNNNNNNNNNNNNNNNNNNNNNNNNNNNNNNNNNNNNNNNNNNNNNNNNNNNNNNNNNNNNNNNNNNNNNNNNNNNNNNNNNNNNNNNNNNNNNNNNNNNNNNNNNNNNNNNNNNNNNNNNNNNNNNNNNNNNNNNNNNNNNNNNNNNNNNNNNNNNNNNNNNNNNNNNNNNNNNNNNNNNNNNNNNNNNNNNNNNNNNNNNNNNNNNNNNNNNNNNNNNNNNNNNNNNNNNNNNNNNNNNNNNNNNNNNNNNNNNNNNNNNNNNNNNNNNNNNNNNAAAAAAAAAAAAAUAAUUUUUUUUCAGAAUCCAGGGGGGGCUAUAGACCACCCUCGUCCCGUGCUAACUCCGCCACUGCCUGCAAGGGCAUGUAUCUGACAGGAUUAAGAACAUUAAUUUCCUCCAUGCGACUUCGAUGUGUUAUGUCUAUAUUGAUUAGAAUAGCGCAAUGCAGUAACGUAUGGCUUCCAAGAAAUCAAGAUUGCUACUAUUAAGAAUGUCAAGAAGGUGAUGCUGCUAGGACAAAUCAACGGAUACAUACAAAUAAUUCCAGGCUCUAAUAAAAUGUCAGACAGCUGCAGAGGGAAACAAACCUACAGGGAUGUCAAUUUUUGAUUCAAAUGAAUUUGAGGUGAUACCAUCUGGCCAGUAUCAGUUUAAGCCUUCAUAAAUAAUACUAUUAUUCUGUAAUUAGAUGAUCACAUUGUACAGUACAUCCAAGUAACGAAAGUGCAGCUUCAAGUCUAGUGCAAGCAAUGGUGGACUGGCCAGUUCCUGGAAAACUCAAAACAAUUUUAUUUUUAAUUAAACAACUUUAUUUUUAAUUAUUAUAUCUGGUAACUGAUUCCUUUCCCAGAUUCCGAAAAUAAAAAUAAAGAAGGGAUCCUUGAUGAGAUUUUCAAUAUUUAUUGGAUCUUUUCUGCACUCGUAUUAAGGUCUGCAUAUAUCUCAUCCCCGAAGCUUGACUAGCCGACUUGGACAUACGACACAUAGUAGGUAUAUUUCGUUUGAAAUCUAAAUGAAACAUCAUCCCCGUAGUUAUGAGUGCCACUGCCCAUAUCGUCCUGAACACAGUUAUGGAGAUAAAAUAGACGAGUCACAGCAACAAGCAAGAUAAAAAAUUUGAGCUUAUUACAAUCGACGUCGUAACCAAGAUUUACAGCUUAUGAGCACAGCUACCAGCAACGGCUUGUUGUUAAGAUAUUGGUAGGAGCCCAGAAUCUGUAACCAAUGAAACAUCAACCUUGCAGCUGCAUGACAGCUGUUGCGAGGCACUCGGGCCAAGAAAUAAAUUUGCAGCAGGUGCCACUAAUUUUUUCGUGGCCAACAAUGAGGAGCGAUGUUAAGUAGCAUGUCAAAUUCUUGUGAUGAAUGCAGAGUGCCAGAGUUUAGGACACCUCAAAUUACACUGUUGUUUAUUGUAUUCAAUUCAUUUUAGUCUUUCAGUGUUGUAAAAAGCUUGUCCAAAGAAAAACUUAACUUUUUAAUUAUUUUGUGGUUAAUAUAUUUUUUAAUUUUUACCGGACCUCGGGGCCAUCGAUCUCCUGCACAACAGUAUGAUGGUAUUACUCCCUUCCGUACUUUUCAGUUGUCACAUUUGAUUUAAUAUUAAAAUGCUGUUUGUGUGAGCUUAAUAUAAGUGUUUUUUGCUUAAAAUAAAAAAUUGGAGUAGAAGUUAGAAACAAGUGAAGACUUAUAAGUGAUUAAAGUGUUUGAGAAAGAAGCAGAAGCCUUGAAACAAAAGCUAACAUUCCUAGUUUCUUAUAGGUUUUUCUUGAUUUUUUAUACAAACGGUACGAAUAAAAGCUUGUAACUUAUAAAUCAAAAGCCUGCUUUUAAGCCGGAAACAAACACCCCCUACACCUGAGCAGUACCUCUCCGUCAUAUUCGAAUAACAUGAAAAUCAGGUAACAUAAAACUUUCCUCAUCGAAUAUAUAUGAGGUCGAUAAAUUUGUUAUGCCUGAAAAUAUGUGCAUAACAACCCGAAAGAACCGAAAGAAAAAGGGACAGAGGAAGUAAUUAAUGUAUCAUCUUUUUGCAGGAAUAAUUAAUAAUGCAGCAUCACCUUCUGCAAGAAUAUUACCACUCAAGUAACGCCCAGCUCAACUAGUAUAUAAACAAACAUUUUAUAUUUGAAUCAUAAAACAAAACGUAAAGCACACAAUUUUAAGUACAAAGUCUAUUUCUUUAAGAUUGAUUUUGAUAGUAAUACAAUACUACAAGUUUCUGGAGAUUUGAUUACAAUACUCUAUUGCUCUUAAAUCUCCUUCCUUUCUGGAGUCUUUGAGAAUCCAAGGACUUGAGAUAUACAUUUAUUUAAACCCCAACUCAAGAUUUUCUUGCAAUUGAAAAUUUAAGGUAUGCGCUGUUUAGCAUUGCUGUUUUUUGUUUUUUAAGUUUCUAUUAUCUGGGUUUUGCAUUUGUAUUGCUUUAGGUUCAGAAAGUUCAUGUCUUUUCUUAUGUUUUUGUAUCUUUUGGGAAAUUGAUUCUGACCCUAUUGCAUCUUAGAGGGGUUUUUACUUGUAUAUGGUAAUUGGGUUUUGGUUAUAUUGGUGGUCACACUGUUGUAUCUGGAUGCUAUUGUAGUGUUAAUUGAGUUGUCUUUAGAGGGUUUGAAGGAGAUUCUGUUUGAAUUGCGAACAUGCCUUCUACGGAUAGCCCGGGUUUGUCAAUGCCAUUCGCUACAUUUCGUCGAUCAGUGUUUGGUUUAGGGAAUGAUAGAAUUCAUUCCUUGGAAUCAAAUCGUAGUCCACCUGUCCAAAACACUGAGUUUGAAUCAUUUCAGAAUAAAGUCUUUAAGAGAUUUCAUGAUCUCUCGAUUGCUAAGGCUGAUGAGUUUCUUUCACUUACAUGGAUAAGUAAGUUACUUGAUGCCUUGAUUGAUUGCCAAGAGGAAUUUAGGGUCCUAUUAUGUAAGUAUAAGGUUGAUAUGGCGAAACCACCUUUAGACAAGAUGAUUUCUGAUUACUUUGAGAGGAGCAUCAAGGCGCUUGACAUAUGUAAUGCAACUAGAGAUGGGGUUGAUAUGAUUAGGCUUUGGAACAAGCAUUUGGAUAUGGUUCUAAGUGCUUUUGGUUCUCAACAAAG